GAAAAAAACGUCAUGAUAUUUGCACAUGCGCGUUAAAGGGGAAACAGCGACAGAAAAAAAAUGUCAUGAUUUUUGCACAUGCGCGUUAAAGGGGAAACGGGGAACUGAAUUCUCCGUAACACCGGCGUUAAGGGAAGACGUUACAGCUACAGCUGACUCCGUAUGGAGCUGGUUGUCCAUCUUCUUUGAGCAAGGGGCGUGAUGCGCCCUCUUCUUUGACUUUUGUGCACUCCUGAGUCAAGCUCACUCAGCCACCUCCUGUUAUUUGGCCUACACUGAUCUUGAAUUAAAGACCAGUGUGAGACAGGAGAUCGGCAGUCAGUUAUGGCAAGACAAAACAUUAUAUGUUUUAUUAAUUUUUGGCAAACCUAUAAUAAAUAAAAA